CAGUCGCCACGGUAAUACGAAGGGGGCUAGCGUUGCUCGGAAUGACUGGGCGUAAAGGGCGCGUAGGCGGCUGACACAGUCAGAUGUGAAAUUCCUGGGCUCAACCUGGGGACUGCAUUUGAGACGUGUUGGCUUGAGUGGAGAAGAGGGUCGUGGAAUUUCCAGUGUAGAGGUGAAAUUCGUAGAUAUUGGAAAGAACACCGGUGGCGAAGGCGGCGACCUGGUCUUUAACUGACGCUGAGGCGCGAAAGCGUGGGGAGCAAACAGGAUUAGAUACCCCUGUAGUCCCUGUCUCUUAUAC
rnacentral:rRNA from 1 species